rnacentral:rRNA from 1 species
CAGCCGCGCGGGAAUACGUAGGGGGCAAGCGUUAUCCGGAAUUAUUGGGCGUAAAGAGUGCGUAGGUGGUCUACUAAGCGCGAGGUGAAAGGCAAUGGCUCAACCAUUGUUAGCCUUGCGAACUGGCAGACUUGAGUGCAAGAGAGGAAAGCGGAAUUCCUAGUGUAGCGGUGAAAUGCGCAGAUAUUAGGAGGAACACCGGCGGCGAAGGCGGCUUUCUGGAUUGUAACUGACACUGAGGCACGAAAGCGUGGGUAGCAAACAGGAUUAGAUACCCCCGUAGUCCCUGUCUCUUAUACAC